rnacentral:rRNA from 1 species
AUUGAACGCUGGCGGCAUGCUUUACACAUGCAAGUCGAACGGUAACAGGCCGCAAGGUGCUGACGAGUGGCGAACGGGUGAGUAAUGCAUCGGAACGUGCGCAGUCGUGGGGGAUAACGCAGCGAAAGCUGCGCUAAUACCGCAUACGAUCUAUGGAUGAAAGCGGGGGACCGUAAGGCCUCGCGCGAUUGGAGCGGCCGAUGUCAGAUUAGGUAGUUGGUGGGGUAAAGGCUCACCAAGCCAACGAUCUGUAGCUGGUCUGAGAGGACGACCAGCCAAACUGGGACUGAGACACGGCCCAGACUCCUACGGGAGGCAGCAGUGGGGAAUUUUGGACAAUGGGCGCAAGCCUGAUCCAGCAAUGCCGCGUGCAGGAAGAAGGCCUUCGGGUUGUAAACUGCUUUUGUACGGAACGAAAAGGCUCUGGAUAAUACCUGGGGCUCAUGACGGUACCGUAAGAAUAAGCACCGGCUAACUACGUGCCAGCAGCCGCAGUAAUAC